UACGUAGGUGGCAAGCGUUGUCCGGAUUUACUGGGCGUAAAGAGCGCGCAGGCGGUCGUUCAAGUCGCGUGUGAAAGCCCCCGGCUCAACUGGGGAGGGUCACGCGAUACUGAUCGACUCGAAGGCAGGAGAGGGAAGUGGAAUUCCCGGUGUAGUGGUGAAAUGUGUAGAGAUCGGGAGGAACACCGGUGGCGAAGGCGGUUAGCUGGGCAGUUGCUGACACUGAGGCGCGACAGCGUGGGGAGCAAACAGG
rnacentral:rRNA from 1 species